GGCAACGUGCCUGAGUGGUUAAAGGGUAUGACUAGAACCCGUUGGCUGGAUCAUCUGAUUCAUCCAACUGAGCAAUCAUAUGGCUUCGGCCUCACAGGUUCGAAUCCUGUCGUUGUCG
rfam:Magnaporthe oryzae 70-15 chromosome 4, whole genome shotgun sequence.